CCUACGGGAGGCAGCAGUGGGGAAUAUUGGGCAAUGGGCGCAAGCCUGACCCAGCAACGCCGCGUGAAGGAAGAAGGCUUUCGGGUUGUAAACUUCUUUUAUUGAGGACGAAACAAAUGACGGUCCUCAAUUAAUAAGCCACGGCUAACUACGUGCCAGCAGCCGCGGUAAUACGUAGGUGGCAAGCGUUAUCCGGAUUUACUGGGUGUAAAGGGCGUGUAGGCGGGACUGCAAGUCAGAUGUGAAAACCAUGGGCUCAACCCAUGGCCUGCAUUUGAAACUGCAGUUCUUGAGUGAUGGAGAGGCAGGCGGAAUUCCGUGUGUAGCGGUGAAAUGCGUAGAUAUACGGAGGAACACCAGUGGCGAAGGCGGCCUGCUGGACAGUAACUGACGCUGAGGCGCGAAAGCGUGGGGAGCAAACAGGAUUAGAUACCCUAGUAGUC
rnacentral:rRNA from 1 species